GAUGAACGCUGGCGGCGUGCCUAAUACAUGCAAGUCGAGCGAACGGACGAGAAGCUUGCUUCUCUGAUGUUAGCGGCGGACGGGUGAGUAACACGUGGAUAACCUACCUAUAAGACUGGGAUAACUUCGGGAAACCGGAGCUAAUACCGGAUAAUAUUUUGAACCGCAUGGUUCAAAAGUGAAAGACGGUCUUGCUGUCACUUAUAGAUGGAUCCGCGCUGCAUUAGCUAGUUGGUAAGGUAACGGCUUACCAAGGCAACGAUGCAUAGCCGACCUGAGAGGGUGAUCGGCCACACUGGAACUGAGACACGGUCCAGACUCCUACGGGAGGCAGCAGUAGGGAAUCUUCCGCAAUGGGCGAAAGCCUGACGGAGCAACGCCGCGUGAGUGAUGAAGGUCUUCGGAUCGUAAAACUCUGUUAUUAGGGAAGAACAUAUGUGUAAGUAACUGUGCACAUCUUGACGGUACCUAAUCAGAAAGCCACGGCUAACUACGUGCCAGCAGCCGCGGUAAUACGUAGGUGGCAAGCGUUAUCCGGAAUUAUUGGGCGUAAAGCGCGCGUAGGCGGUUUUUUAAGUCUGAUGUGAAAGCCCACGGCUCAACCGUGGAGGGUCAUUGGAAACUGGAAAACUUGAGUGCAGAAGAGGAAAGUGGAAUUCCAUGUGUAGCGGUGAAAUGCGCAGAGAUAUGGAGGAACACCAGUGGCGAAGGCGACUUUCUGGUCUGUAACUGACGCUGAUGUGCGAAAGCGUGGGGAUCAAACAGGAUUAGAUACCCUGGUAGUCCACGCCGUAAACGAUGAGUGCUAAGUGUUAGGGGGUUUCCGCCCCUUAGUGCUGCAGCUAACGCAUUAAGCACUCCGCCUGGGGAGUACGACCGCAAGGUUGAAACUCAAAGGAAUUGACGGGGACCCGCACAAGCGGUGGAGCAUGUGGUUUAAUUCGAAGCAACGCGAAGAACCUUACCAAAUCUUGACAUCCUUUGACAACUCUAGAGAUAGAGCUUUCCCCUUCGGGGGACAAAGUGACAGGUGGUGCAUGGUUGUCGUCAGCUCGUGUCGUGAGAUGUUGGGUUAAGUCCCGCAACGAGCGCAACCCUUAAGCUUAGUUGCCAUCAUUAAGUUGGGCACUCUAAGUUGACUGCCGGUGACAAACCGGAGGAAGGUGGGGAUGACGUCAAAUCAUCAUGCCCCUUAUGAUUUGGGCUACACACGUGCUACAAUGGACAAUACAAAGGGCAGCGAAACCGCGAGGUCAAGCAAAUCCCAUAAAGUUGUUCUCAGUUCGGAUUGUAGUCUGNCACUCGACUACAUGAAGCUGGAAUCGCUAGUAAUCGUAGAUCAGCAUGCUACGGUGAAUACGUUCCCGGGUCU
rnacentral:rRNA from 1 species